rnacentral:rRNA from 1 species
AGAAUCAACGCUGGCGGCGUGCCUAACACAUGCAAGUCGAACGAGAAAGUGGAGCAAUCCAUGAGUAAAGUGGCGACCGGGUGAGUAACACGUGACUAACCUACCUUCGAGUGGGGGAUAACCUCGGGAAACCGAGGCUAAUACCGCAUAACAUCGCAAGAUCAAAGCAGCAAUGCGCUGGAAGAGGGGGUCGGCGGCUGAUUAGCUAGUUGGCGGGGUAACGGCCCACCAAGGCGAAGAUCGGUA